UUAGGAUUUAGAGUUUCGUUAGGGUUUUAUUUAGGAUUUAGGAUUUAGGAUUUGAUUAAGAUUUGGUUUAGGAUUUAGAGUUUCAUUUAGGAUUUGAUUGGGAUUUGAUUUAAGGUUUGUUUAGGGUUGUAUUUAGGAUUAGGAUUUGGUUACGGUUUGAUUUUGGGUUAGGAUUUGAUUAGGAUUUGGUUACAGUUUGAUUUAAGAUUAGGGUUUGGAUAGAAUUUGGUUUAGAAUUUGAUUAGAAUUUGAUUUAAGGUUUAAGAUUUGGUUUAGAAUUUAGGAUUUGAUUUAGGGUUUAGAAUUUUAUUAGGAUUUGUUUAAGGUUUAAGAUUUAAUUAAUUUUGGCCUAAAGUUUGAAUGAAGUCCAAUAGGAUUUUAACUAGGAUUAAAUUAAGAUUGAAUUGAGAUGUAUUUGAGAUAUAUUUGUGAUCAUUCUAAUAUUUCUUUAAGCUUUUUUAUUAUUUCUUUGAAAUUUCUUUGAGGUUUCUUUGAAUUUGAUUAAAGCUU
rnacentral:lncRNA from 1 species